rnacentral:lncRNA from 1 species
AGACAAAGUUUCAUCAGCAUCAUUGGACAUUUUUAUCUAGAAUAAACAAAUUUUACUAGAUUUAGACCAAACACAAAUAACUUUGGCAAAUAAUGUUUUUGGAUUUAGAAUACAUUGACACUAGAGAACUUCAAUGUUCUGAAUCCCAUAUAGAAGACUAUAAUGUAAUCUAUAUUUUAGAGUAUUUCUUUGCUGAGGAGAAGUAAACAAAAGAGAAUGAAUGAGGUUUUGUUCCUGGCAGAUACACAUAUUAAGGGGAGGAAUGUGAACUAAGGAUGGAAAGUGAUGACUUUUAUUUCUUCACUUAGCUUUUGUUUCUACCCUAAUUUCAUUUACAUGCCAAAGUGGGUACUAAACUCAUUUCAGAACAUAGGCUUCUAUAUUGUACCUGGUUCUUUUUGUUUGUUUGUUUGUUUUCUAGCACAAUCCCUGAAAUAAAUUUUAGAAACACAGGCUUAUAAUUAGGUAGAUAAUUGUAGUUACAAGCAAUUUUUUUAACCCUAAGUCAGACAAUAGUUUGAUACCAGAGACUUUGAAUCAACUUCACAAGUAAAUAAUAAAAAUAAUAGACCACCUCACUUUGAAGUAUUCUAUUAGCCUCAUCUGUCUGUUUUGGAUAAUAGUAACCCAUAAACUCUACAUGAACAGAAGCAUAGCUUAAUUUAUCAGGGAGAAGCCUUCUAGCCAUUGCAUUUCAGAAAAAGAUAGUAGAGAUCCUUGAAGAGGCUGAUUUGCUGAAACCCAGAAGAUGGUAGAGGAUAGUAGCUUGGCAAACAAGAGACCACAGAACACAUCCAGAAAGACAAUUUGAAAGUGAAGAUGUGAUAUCCAUCACAGAGACAUGAUACAUAGCAGAAAGUUGUCACCACCAAAUGACAUCUGUACUUUUUCAAUGUUGAAGUGGGAGUUGUUCCAGCUAUGCAUGUGUCCCUAAUAUAUGGAUCCAUAUUAAUGUAUUUCUUGCAAGUUUCUUGGCUAUGCAUGUAUGGGUACCACCCCCAUCAUCUGUUCUUUCCACAUGUGUAUACCCUAUGUGUACUUGAGAGGGCUUUUUCUUACAUUAUGUUGCUUGAUUAAAUGUCUUGUUUUGAGCUAAU